CCUACGGGUGGCAGCAGUGAGGAAUAUUGGUCAAUGGCCGCAAGGCUGAACCAGCCAUGCCGCGUGCAGGAAGACGGCUCUAUGAGUUGUAAACUUCUUUUGUACGAGGGUAAACGCAGAUACGCGUAUCUGUCUGAGAGUAUCGUACGAAUAAGGAUCGGCUAACUCCGUGCCAGCAGCCGCGGUAAUACGGAGGAUUCAAGCGUUAACCGGAUUUAUUGGGUUUAAAGGGUGCGUAGGCGGUCGGAUAAGUUAGAGGUGAAAUCCCGGGGCUCAACUUCGGAAUUGCCUCUGAUACUGGCGGGCUAGAGAGCAGUCGCGGUAGGCGGAAUGUAUGGUGUAGCGGUGAAAUGCUUAGAGAUCAUACAGAACACCGAUUGCGAAGGCAGCUUACCAAGCUACUUCUGACGUUGAGGCACGAAAGCGUGGGGAGCAAACAGGAUUAGAUACCCCGGUAGUC
rnacentral:rRNA from 1 species